GGAUGGAUCAUUAACACAAUGAAUUCCAAAAACAAACCGUGUAGGAGAAAGAUUCCUUUUAUGUGCUAACACAAGAUGAUGGCAGACAAAUAGGCUCGCUUAUUUUCUAUCUCUUUUGUGUUAUAACACACAUUUGAAAUCUCCUCCCACCGGCCAACCAAAUGUGAACUACCCCCUUUUUUUUGAGAAUAUCAGCACGGGAGGGGGGAAACGUGUGUAGCGGUUGUAUGUGUGUGUGUGUUGCAGUUGGUUUCAACUCUUCACACGCACAUUAUUAUCAAAACAUUAAAUUUUCCCCUCCUUUUGCUGCCCUUCUCAAAAUUCUUUUUUUAAUUUUUCCCAAUUUGUUAACCCAAAAUGCGAAAACUCUUAAAAAGAAUGAAAUAUACCGUAUAUCCAUAUAGAUAUUGUAAAAAAAACAUAAGCACAACUUUCAACAAUGGAUAUCUUGGCUCGCUGAACGAUGAAGAACGCAGCUAGAUGCGAUACGUAAUGUGAAUUGCACACGUCUGUGAAUCAUCAAAUCUUUGAACGCAAGUUGCGCUGCUUCACAGCAGCAUGCCUGUUUGAGCGAUGGUAACAAACCCUUCAAAACAAAAACAAAAAAAAAAAGGGAACAACAUUCGCCGAGUAACAUUGGCGGUAAUGAUUGUCAGCUCGAGAUUGUAUCUCGAGUCAAUCAAAGUUGGUGUAUGAAGCCUGCGAGGUCUGUGAAGAUAAUAUUUCUAUUUAGUAGAAUUAAUUCACUAUACGCACUCUUCACUAUAUCCGCUUUAUGGCUGGUAGGUGUUAUUAGAGCAAAUGUUCACUUUGUUUGCUGUUUUAUUGAUAGUUGAAAGAAUCUAACGAUCCUUUCUUUUGUCUUUUAAAUUUUUGCAUACAUGAAUGUUACGACACUACUAAACAUCCUAUUACUGUAAAACCGGAGAAGAAAUGCAGAAUUAAUAACUUCAUUAUUAAAAAGAGUUAUUUUCAUAUUUUAUUUAAUUAUUAUUUUUUCUUUCGAGAAAAUAAAAAUAAAAUAAAUAAAGCAGCUUGCAACCAUUUUCAUACUGGAAAGUGUAUGAAGAAGCAACAACAACAUUUUGUAAUGUUGUUGUUUCUCCUUUACAUACACACAAGCAUUUUAUUAUGUUUGUCCACUUUUUUUUUUUUUUCUUUAAAAAAAAAAAAAAAAAAAAAACCCAAAACAUCAUCCUCAAAUCAGGUAGGACUACUCCUUGAACUUAAGCAUAUUACUAAAGGAAGGAAAAGAAACUAACUAGGAUUCCCUCAGUAGCGGCGAGCGAAGUGGGAAGAGCUCAGGUUUGAAAUCCUGGCGCUGUCUUUAUUGUACUGGUCGCCAGGAAUUGUAGCCUCGGGAGUGCAUGUCGCGGGAAGAUCGCUGGUGUAAGUCCCCUGGAAUGAGGCGCCCUAGAGGGUGACAGCCCCGUACAUAACCAGCUUUCACGUACCGCACAAGUCAUGUGCUCACAGAGUCGGGUUGUUUGGGAAUUCAGCCUAAAGUGCGAGGUAAACUCCUCGUAAAGCUAAAUAUUGCAGCGAGACCGAUAGCGAACAAGUAGCGUGAGCGAAAGAUGAAAAGAACUUUGAAAAGAGGGUUAAAGCAGUGCUUGAAAUUGUUGAAAGGGAAGCGUUUGGAGUCGGCGUCGACAUGUGGGUGAAUCCAUUGUAGCAGGAGGAUGACGCUGUCAGAUCUGUAGGUGCCGUUACUGGUAUCCUUCUGGCGGUGGCAGUUUUUUUGUCUGCAGGUUACUUUGCUCAUGUGGUCGGUCAGCAUCGGUCAGAUUGUGUUGGCAGUAAAAGCACGGGAGUAUCGGUAGCCUGGCUGCGGCUGGGUGAAGGCUUCUGGAUGGCGUUCGCUGCCCGUCUGACCGAGGAAAGCAUCAUUCGUGCAAAGCAUGCGCCUCUAGGCUGGGUUUCUCCGAUCCAAGUUGUCUAUAUCGAUGAGGGACUGGUACAGUGCCUUGUUGAUGUGGGUGGCUUUCAGGGUCGGGAUGCCACAUGCAUGCUCAGGAUGCUGACGUCGCGCCGCUGUGCGCAAGCACACGCGAACGGCUCUAAACACCCCGUCUUGAAACACGGACCAAGGAGUCUAACAUAUGUGCGAGUAUCGGGGUGAGAAAAACCCGCGGUGCGUAAUGAAAGUGAAGGUAGUCAUUUGGGCUACUGAGGUGGGAAGCCUGUCGACCGAGGCGGGCUGCACCAUCGACCGAUCUGGAUAUUCUUCUGUUUUGAAAGAUUUGAGUGAGAGCACAUCUGUUGGGACCCGAAAGAGGUUGAACUAUGCCUGCAUAGGCUGAAGCCAGAGGAAACUCUGGUGGAGGGUCGUAGCGAUACUGACGUGCAAAUCGUUCGUCAAAUGUGGGUAUAGGGGCGAAAGACUAAUCGAAACUUCUAGUAGCUGGUUCCCUC
rnacentral:misc_RNA from 1 species